rnacentral:rRNA from 1 species
CUACGGGUGGCUGCAGUGGGGAAUAUUGGGCAAUGGGCGCAAGCCUGACCCAGCAACGCCGCGUGAGGGAUGAAGGUUUUCGGAUCGUAAACCUCUGUCAGGAGGGAAGAAGUGGAAGGUGGUUAAUACCUGCCUUUUUUGACGGUACCUCCAGAGGGAGCACCGGCUAACUCCGUGCCAGCAGCCGCGGUAAUACGGGAGGGUGCGAGCGGUAUUCGGAAUUACUGGGCGUAAAGCGCGCGUAGGCGGCAAGGUAAAUCAGAUGUGAAAGCCCACGGCCCAACCGUGGAACUGCAUUUGAAACUGCUUAGCUGGAGUACGGGAGAGGAUAGCGGAAUUCCCGGUGUAGGAGUGAAAUCCGUAGAUAUCGGGAGGAACACCAGUGGCGAAGGCGGCUAUCUGGCCCGUAACUGACGCUGAGGUGCGAAAGCGUGGGGAGCAAACAGGAUUAGAUACCCUAGUAGUC